GUAAGGGCGGGGUCUCCGCUGCUGGAGAGGCGCCGCGUCGCAGCUCCUCCUGCGUCGCCCUGAGUUAAGAAAAAGGGGAGACCGAGGCUGGGGCAACCGAUGGGAUCAGGAAGGGGGGGGGGCGGUCAAACGAAGGCUGGGCAUUUCAUAAUGAGAAACUGGAUACGAAGAUGGAGAAACCAAAGACCAAGACAGGCUAAAGUAGAAGACUGGAGCGGAGCGGUCACCUUGUCUGGGAGGUACAGACACUAACACUUUAGUAUGUUUUAAAUAUAUUAUUCUUUCCUUUUGGUGUAUAAGUGUGUGGACACAUACAUGCCGUGGUGGAAGGUCAGAGGACAACUUUUGGGAGUUGAUUUUAUCUUUCCACCAUGUUCUAGGAAUCAAACACAAGUUGCAAAGCUUGUAUGACAAGUGUCUCUACCCCAUGCACCAUCUCACUGUUGUUUUA
rnacentral:lncRNA from 1 species